rnacentral:rRNA from 1 species
CGCGAGACAGUUCGGUCCUUAUCCACUGUGGGCGCAGGAGAUUUGAGGGGUUCAAUCCUUAGUACGAGAGGACCGGGAUUGACAAACCUAUGGUGAUCCAGUUGUUUCGUCAGAAGCACCGCUGGGCAGCUAUGUUUGGAAAGGAUAAGCGCUGAAAGCAUCUAAGCGCCAAGCCUCUCCCAAGAUGAAAUCUCCCUGAAGAACCGUGGUAGACCACCACGUUGAUAGGUUGUGGGUGUAAGCGCAGUAAUGUGUUGAGCUUAACAAUACUAAUGUUCGUUCGGCUUUUUUU